rnacentral:tRNA from 1 species
UGGGGUAUAGUAGCAUAGCUACAAUCAGCUGUUAACUGGUAAAGAUUAAGUUUAUUUUUAAUUGCUCCAG